rnacentral:rRNA from 1 species
AUGCCGGCCAGAUCCUGCGACGGCGCCGACGCGAGCCACCAAGGGCCGUGGACUCCCUCUCUGGCAUCGCUUCCGCCAAACCCUAGCGGCUCGGCGUCCCGGCGACCAUCUCCGAGGUGGUUUCUUUCUGCAGUAGCCAGCCCAUGGAGAAGGCCCGGACAAAUUCUCGGAGCAGUACGCCCGCCGCUCCAGCACCUUUCCUCACCGCCGUCGUCAUUCAAGGUUCUCUCUGUGGUUGAAAUUUGGCAAGAUGAAGUUGUUCCUAUGGUUUUUGUCAUGAAAAUUAAAAUGACACCUUUGGAGUGUUGUGCUGACAUGGAUGGUUUAGAUGCUCAAAUUCAAGAGAUCAAAGAAGCUGCUGAACUUCCUGAGCUAUAUGAGGACAUUGGAUUCAGGCCGCCGAAGGGAGUCAUACUGUAUGGGGAACAGGGACAGCUUUACUUGCAAAGGUGCACUGUCAUUGUAUAUAUUCUCUCAGCCUCUUUAUUCUUGAAUUCAGUAUAUUCAGCUCUGCAGGAAGGUCCGUCUUCACAUCAAAUGUCUGCCGAUUGGAGUGACGAUAACACUACGAUCUUGACCGAGCUCUUUGUCCAACAAGUGCGUGCUGGCAAUAGGCCAGACAAGCACUUGACUCAAAAUGCUUAUGAGGAAGUUGCGAAGGAUUUUAAAGUCAGAACAGGCCUGGAGUACACCAGGCUCCAACUAAAGAACAAGUGGGAUAAGUUGAAGACUGAUUACAGCAAUUUCAGAAAACUCAAAUUGAAGGAGAUUGGUGGUGGGUGGGACUAUGAGAGAAACACCAUCAAACAAGAUGAUGAAUGGUGGAAGAAAGCAAAGAUAGACAUCCCUGGCUGUGGCAAGUUCCAAAAGCGCGGACUUCGAAAUGAGAAUAACUUAUCUAUCAUGUUUGCUGACAUCACAAGUGAUGGUACAGAUCACUGGAAUCCUGCUUCAGGCACCAUUCCCCAAUCUAGCAGUGCAACUUCAGUUUUCAAUGUGGACGACAUACAAGAUGUUGAUCUGGAGGAGACCCAAACAGGUGAGUCACAUGCCGAUGGAAAAGGGAAGAGACUUGGAAGGUAUGUGGAUGGCAAUAACAAGAAGCCAAAGACAUCUCUUGUUAUACAAGAACAGAUAACCAGGGUUGGAGAUAUAGCAGAGAGGACCCAAUCCAGCUUUGAGUCAUACAUGAAGAAAGAAGAGAGUUCAUCGAUUACUUCUGUGAUGGAUCUGGUUGUUGAGUGUGGUGCAAUAGUAGGCAGUGAUGAAUAUUUCAUUGCUAGUGAACUAUUUGUGAAGCGAGAGCAGAGAGAGAUGUUCCUGCAUAUGACUGAAAGUGCUGCUCGUUUAGAUUGGUUGCGUAGGAAAUACAACAGCAAGUAUGGGCAUUAG